ensembl:lncRNA
AGGCCAUGUUUCUUCAGGGAAGGAAUAAAAUGUCUGUGCUAGGUUUUUGUAGGAAUAUUUUAAUAGACUACUGAAUCAUGAAAACAUAUUUUCAAAAUUGAAAAUUGUAUUAUGCUUCCAGAACAUGUGAGUGGCUUCUUAACAUUUUAGCAGCACAUUUUGAAAAUACAUAUCCAGAUUUAAUAAUCAUUAGGGAUAUGAUUUUCUUUUAAAUAUAAGGUCACUUUUAUCUGCUUUGUUUUGUUUUGUUUUUCCUUAAUCUUACUUGAACAUCAUUUUUACUAACAUCCUCUGUGAUUUUUCCUUGGAUCUUUGUCAAAAAAUAAUUGACGUAUGUAUGCAUUUCUGAGCAACCUAUUUGAUUCUAUUGAUCUCUUUGUACUUAGACCAAAAUCACGCCCUCUUCAUUAAUGUAGUGAGAUAGUAAGUUUUGAAAUCUGGUUCAAUAAACUUUCCAACUUGAAUCUUCUUCAAGAUUGUCUAGGUUAUUCUAAAUCAAAUUUAAUCAAAUAUAAGUUUUAAAAUAAUUUUGUAAAUUUUCGCAAAAAUAAAGCUGUUGAAGUUGGUUAGGAUUGUGUUGAAUCAAUGUAAUAGUUUGGGGAGAAUUUGACAUCUUAACAAAAUAUGAUAUACAAGUGCGUUUAAGGCUUUGUACAUUUCUGUCAGCAGCAUGAUGUGAAAAUAUUUGACUCUUCUUUGACAAUUAAUAUAUUUGAGGUUAUUUUAAAUGAAAUUUUAAAUUGCAUUUUUAAUUAUAUGUUGCCAGUAUGUUGAAAUUUAUUGAUUUUUAUGAUCUAGCAGUCUUAUUUAAUUCAUUUAUGAAUACUCAUUCAUUUUAUAGAUUCUCUUGGAUUUUACAUUAAUCAUGUCAAUUGCACAAAAUCUUUAUGCCUUUUAAAUCUUUAUUUUGUUUUAUUACACUGGUUAGGAAUUCCCUUAUAAUGAUGAACCAAAGAGUGAAUGAAAGCACAUCCUUGGCUUUUGUCUGUUUUGAGGAGAGCAAGUUUGAUAAUUAACCAUUAAUUGUAAGAUACCAAUAGGUUAUUUGUCAAUAGUUUUUAUAAGUUUGGAAAAAUUUGCUUCUAAUCCUAGAUUACUGGGUGUUUUAUCAGAAUAUGUGUCGAAUUAUAUCAUAUCUUUUUUUCUUUAUUUGUUUUAGUGGCUAUUUGGUUUUUUUUCUUUAUUCUGUUAAUGUGAUGAUUUUAACAAAUGGAAAAACAAACUUGCAUUCUUGAAAUACACUGCACUUGACAUGAUUCUUACUGAUUUCUCAUUUUGUUCUACCACUAUCUAAAUGAAGUGUAUUAAAAUAUCUAAUUAUGUUUGUGAUUUAUUUCCCUUUUUCCCAUAUUCCCUUUUUGAAAAGUAUGUUUGUAAUUCAUAUUAUUACUAUAUUUCCUGUUGAGUGGCCUUUUUUCAUCUUUAUGAAAUGUCCCUUUGUAUUUCUAAUACUUCUUGCAUUAAAGUCUACUUUGUGUGAUAUUAACAUAGACAUUUAAAUUUUCUUUUGGUUAGGAUUUUCAGCUUUUUACUUUCUAAUGAAUUAUGUCCUUAAUUU